CUUGGUGGCACAGAUGAGCUGAAGCCUGAAGAGCUCCAGGUGGACAUUUGCAGACACCUUGCCAAAGAGAAUGCAGAGCUGCUGGAGAACUUGUACAGCACCACCAUCACAUACUUCAGUUGCAGCUGGGAAGAGAUCCGGGCAGUUGCCGCCAACUUAGCUGCUCUCCAGGUCCUAGAGAAAGACCCAAGUCCCACUGUCCAGCUGGUGGCAACUGAAAUCCUAAGUGACAUCUAUUCUGGUGGAGUGCUUGAGGAAUGAAGCAGAACGAAGACAAACAGAACAAGGCGCUCCAGUGGUAUAAGGGCCCUACCAUCAAUCAAAUGUUAACCCCACCCCUUGACCCCGGCAGCAAGAUGUGUCAUGUGACCCCUCUAAGAACUCCUCCCACUUUCCUC